GUAGUCAGUCCCUCCUCUGUGGGCUUACCUGUAGAGUCCCCAAAUCCUGGCAGCAAGAAAAGGCAAACACAGUAUCACUGCCUUCAAAAUGAGGGGUCAUCAGAGGCCCCCUGGUUACUGAAACAUCUUUGUACACCGUUCUUAACACAUACCUCUGUAGUCAACAGACAAGACAUGAAAGCCACCAUCACUCAGCACCUAGGUAACAAAGGAGCUGUUAUCACUUUAAUUAGAAGAUGAAAACAGAAAAGGCUUCUCCUCCCUAUAUCCAUCCAUAUCACAUCACAAGGAGGGCUCUUUCAAAGGUAAUUUUAACUUGUUCAUUAGUAUUUUUUUUAACUGCAGAA
rnacentral:lncRNA from 1 species